rnacentral:rRNA from 1 species
CAAUAGCGUAUAUUAAAGUUGUUGCAGUUAAAAAGCUCGUAGUUGGAUUUCUGGUUGAAGCGACCGGCCGGGCGUUGAUUCGUCUGCACUGGAGUCGGUUUUGGCCAUCCUCUAGGAAAGUGCGUCUGGUAUUAAGUUAUCGGGCGUAUGAUCCUGGUCUUUUACUGUGAAAAAAUUAGAGUGUUUAAAGCAGGCCUUCGCCUUGAAUACAUUAGCAUGGAAUAAUAAGAUAGGACUUUGGUCUAUUUUGUUGGUUUGCAGACCGAAGUAAUGAUUAAUAGGGAUAGUUGGGGGUAUUUAUAUUCCGAUGUCAGAGGUGAAAUUCUUAGAUUUUCGGAAGAUAAACUUAUGCGAAAGCAUUUACCAAGGAUGUUUUCAUUA